rnacentral:lncRNA from 1 species
CAAUAAGCCUCCACUUGGUCAGUGUUUUGCUGAGGAGCACAGGAUGAGUUACCUAAACCUCGUGGCUGUGACACAGCUCCAUUGCAGUCACUUUCACUUCACCCUUGGCUCUGAUUUAAUCAAGAAUUUGAUUACACUGAUUCUGAUUUUACUGCACCUCAUACCCAGUUUUAGAAGAAGCCUCAGAAAGUCAGUGGGAAGGGCUUCAAAUGGCCACAAUUGGGCAGGCAAACAGCAGCAGAAGGAGGAGGCACAAGGUGUGAAAUGGAACCAUUCAGACUCCAGAGGAAAGCCACCAUUUAGCAUUCAGGAUGAAAUUCUAGAGCAG